rnacentral:rRNA from 1 species
UAGUCCACGCCGUAAACGAUGAUCACUCGUUGUUGGCGAUAUAUAGUCAGCGACCAAGCGAAAGUGUUAAGUGAUCCACCUGGGGAGUACGCCCGCAAGGGUGAAACUCAAAGGAAUUGACGGGGGCCCGCACAAGCGGUGGAACAUGUGGUUUAAUUCGAUGAUACGCGAGGAACCUUACCUGGGCUUAAAUGCAGGAUGUCGGAUCGGGAAACCGGUUCUCCCUUCGGGGCGUCCUACAAGGUGCUGCAUGGUUGUCGUCAGCUCGUGCCGUGAGGUGUCGGGUUAAGUCCCAUAACGAGCGCAACCCUUAUCGUUAGUUGCCAGCGGGUCAUGCCGGGGACUCUAACGAAACUGCCGGUGUAAACCGAGAGGAAGGUGGGGAUGACGUCAAAUCAAGCACGGCCCUUAUGUCCAGGGGCUACACACGUGUUACAAUGGUUGGGUACAGAGGGGCAGGCUACCUGGGUAACAGGGAUGCAAAUCUACGAAAGCCAAUCUCAGUUCGGGAUUGGGAGUCUGCAACUCGACUCC